UUGAAACAGUGGUUCCCAUACAAUCACUGAAGUUAAGCAACAUUGAGUCGGGUCAGUACCUAGAUGGGUAACCACCUGGGAAUAUUGUGUACUGUAA